UAUUCCUUGCCUCUGGAACAGCCAGGAUCCCUUUACAUUUGAGCUGAAAUGUAUACAUUACACAUAUAUGUUUUUAACUGUACUCAUUGUCUAGCAGUUAGACAUCCCCAGCCUGCCUGAUGGCAUUCCACUCCAGAAGGUGCCAGCCACUCACAGUCCAACCUGAGUCCUCAAAGCCUGGGCUGGCUGGCAGACAACCAUAGGCCUGCCCAGAGCUACAAGGCUUCCAUUACAAUGAGCAAAAUGUGUGAUGGAGAAACAGGAGAGAAAGAGUAGUGGGAUGGUUCAUGUGCUGUGAAAAGAGGAGGAAUAGAAGAUGUGAAGGCAGUGAGGAACAGGCUGAGGUGGGUGGUCUUCUUGUCAUUCAUGGCCAUGGGGUCAUCAGGACCGAAGUUGCUACCAAAGGUCAUUUCUGGGUCUCCAGUCUUAUUGCAGCUUGGAUCUAUGUUAACAUUCAUGGUCCAAGCUGCCACCAAAGGGCACACAGGAGUCUGGAGUCUGUGCUGCAUCCUGUGGCCUUAUUGGCAUCUGAGGGCUGUUCUGCCACUGGAGUGACACUAAGUGAUCUGAGCUGCCAACCGGGGCCAUGGUGUUGGCUGGUAUAAGGGGGUUCUUCUGUCUAUGUCUUGAUUUCAUUGGUUGAAUAAAGAAACUGCCUUGGCCUUUUGAUAGGGCAGCACUUAGAUGGAGUAGACUGAACUGCAUGCUGUGAAGAAGGGCAGUGUGGCAGAUGCCAUGAAGCUCCUGCUUGAGACUGACGCUGGUUAGAAUAUUUUCCGUCCCCCUCUCUCGUCAGCCCAAAGAGCAAUCAGGGUUCCCUGCCCUGUGGGAAGUCCAAGGACCACCCACCUCCAUCCAGGUCUAGUAAGAUAUUUGACUCCAGAAUGAACUCUCUCUUCUUCCUUCGAG